CACACACACCCCACUACUAGAAUGCCCGCACCAGACACACAAACACACACUCCCUCUACAACUUUCUCUCUCUUUCUGCAACAAACGACGAGAUACUCCGCGCUGGCAAGAUUCCCUUCCCUGUCCUUCUCCGACUGUUUCCUUUUCCCUUCUGCUUAUCUCUCUCUUUCUCCGGCUCCGCUAACCCUAACAAAAAUUUUCCCGAGAAACAAACGGACCUACACAAUCUCUAUUAUCAUGUUGACUACUUUCUUCUUCAUUAUCAUCUCCUGAUAACAUUCUUACACCUACCACAGUAAUUAAAAUAAUAAAACCAAAUCCCAACCUCCAUAAAUUAAUUUUUAUUUAUUAAUUUAUAUAUAUUUUUUUAAAUAUGGGCUGCACUACUUCCAAGCUCGAUGAUCUUCCGGCGGUGGCGCUUUGCCGGGAGCGUUGUGCUUUUCUCGAUCAAGCUAUUCUCCAGCGUUUUGCUUUCGCUGAUGCUCAUAAUGCUUAUAUUCAUUCUUUAAGAACGGUUGGUAAUUCUUUGCAUCAUUUUAUCGAACAAGAUUAUGGCGUUUCUGGUUUUGCUCCUUUAUCUCCUAAGCUUAAUUUACCUCCUCAAAGAAAGGGCGAUCCAGUUAAUCUCAGCGAUGAAGGUACUAGUUCGCCUAAAAAAGCUCAUAUAGCUCACCACUCACGCUCGAACUCCGGUUCUCACCUUCAAUUCCACUCCGAUUCGGACUCUGAUGGUGACGAUUCUGAUUCUCAUCUCCACCAUUCUGAUCACUCCUCUCCUUUACACCACCCAGGCGGCGUUGGUCAUGUUGAAUAUAUGCCUUCAGAAUAUAUGAAUGGUGAGAACGAUUCAUAUCCUGGUGGUGGGUUUCUACAUAUGAAUUAUAUGAAGAAAGCUGCGACGCCCUCUGUUGUUUAUGAGCAGAGGCCUAUGACUCCUGAGACUGUUCAUUUUGGCGAAUCUUCAUCUUCUUAUUAUUAUCCUAAUAAUAAUAAUAAUAAUAAUAAUAAUAAUAAUCCCUAUCCAGUGAAUUAUUAUGGAUACCCAAAUUAUGGUCCCGGUGGAGUUCCAAUGAGUGGUUACUACGGGUCUUCGCCUCCAUAUGGAUCUUCAGUUGCACCGCCUGCUGUGGCUUCCUCGUCGAAACCACCGCCACCUCCUCCUCCGCCUCCAACAACUUCAACUUGGGAUUUCUUGAAUUUCUUUGAGAGUCAUGAUAAUUACUAUCCGCCUUACACGCCGAGUAGAGACUCGAAGGAAUUGAGGGAAGAGGAAGGGAUUCCUGAUUUGGAAGAUGAUGAUUACCAACAAGAGGUGGUGAAGGAAGUUUAUGGACAUGAGAAAUAUGUUGGCGCUGGUGGCGGAGGCGGCGUUCCUCCCAGUAAUAAUUACUCGAAAUCAGUGAUGAUGGAGGAUGGGGGUGCUAAAGCUGGUGGUAGUACUGAGGCCUCCCUUUAUCAAACGAGACCGAACGUGUCCAUGGAUAAUGAUGGUGGACUGGAGUAUGAGGUGCACGUGGUGGAGAAGAAAGUUGUAAAUGAUGAGAGGUCAGACGAGCAAAGAAAUGCUGGAUUUAAGCGAGGAGGUGGGUUUCGGGAUGUGUCUCAAGUGGCUUUUGAAAUCAAGAUUCAAUUCGAGAGAGCUUCUGAGUCUGGGAAAGAAAUUGCUAAGAUGCUCGAAGUCGGAAGGCUUCCUUAUCAGCGAAAACAUGUUGCUAAGAUGUUGCACGUAGUCACUCCUUCGUUAUCUGUAGUAUCCUCACAGCCAUCUACUUCUAAAAGUAUUGAACCCUCUUCCUCUGCUGACAAGGCUGAUCCUGCCUACUUGGAGAUUGAGGAAGAUUUGGCAAUGAGGUCUAAAAACCUUUCUUCUACCUUGCAAAAGCUGCAUCUUUGGGAGAAGAAACUCUGUAAUGAAGUUAAGGCUGAGGAGAAAAUGCGGGUACUUCAUGACAGGAAGUGCCGCAAGCUAAAGCAUUUGGAUGAGAAGGGUGCUGAAGCUCAUAAAGUUGAUGCAACUCGAAUUUUAAUUAGGAAUCUAUCCACAAAAAUAAGAAUUGCAAUUCAGGUUGUAGACAAGAUAUCUGUUACAAUAAACAAGAUUCGGGACGAGGAGCUAUGGCCUCAAUUGAAUGAAUUAAUUCAUGGGUUAACCAGGAUGUGGAAAAGUAUGCAUGAAUGCCAUCAGAGUCAGUGUCAAGCAGUUAAAGAAGCCAAAGGUUUAGGUUCUAUUGGAUCUGGUAAAAAGCUUGGUGAUGAUCAUCUUAAGGCGACAUUGCAGCUUGAGCAUGAGCUUCUUAAUUGGACUUCCAGCUUCUCAAGUUGGAUAGGUGCCCAGAAGGGUUACGUGAGAGCCCUGAAUAACUGGCUUAACAGAUGUCUUUCACAUGAACCAGAAGAAACAGCAGAUGGAAUUGCUCCCUUCUCUCCUGGUAGGAUGGGUGCCCCUCCAGUUUUUGUAAUCUGUAAUCAGUGGGCACAAGCUAUGGAAAUAAUAUCUGAAAAGGAAGUAAUUGAUGCUAUGCGAAUUUUUGCCUCAAGUGUGCUUAAGCUUUGGGAACAAGAUAAACUAGAAAUGCGCCAAAGAAUGAUGAUGAACAAGGAUUUGGAGAGAAAAGUUAGGAACUUAGAUAGAGAGGAUCAAAAGAUACAUAAAGAGAUUCAGGCAUUGGAUAAGAAAAUUGUUCUGGUCUCAGGGGAUGCUUAUAGUCUUUCAGUGACUGGAAACGCUGUAUAUCAGAGUGAUACUAGCAAUAGCAGUCUGCAGGGGAGUUUGCAACGUAUAUUUGAGGCCAUGGAGAAGUUCAUGGCUGAUUCGGUAAAAGCUUAUGAGGAACUCAUUCAGCGCAGUGAAGAAGAAAGGCUUGCUCGAGAUCAUGAGAGAGUUUCAUAGGGCUGUAUGGUGCAAUUAGAAAUGCUCUCUCUUUUAUACAAGCUGCAUUGCUUAUCUUGUGCAAAUCCUAUGAGAAAUUGUGUGAAGCCCAGGCUCUGCCAGAAUAUUCAGCAUGGAGUUGGCCCUGCAGUGGAGUUAUUGCUGGUUGUUUGAAGUCUUCAAUUGAGGGCAGACUUCAUCAUGAGGUUGGUGGUUGUGGGUCCGGGCUCAGUAACGUGCCAUAUUGCUGGUUAAGAUUUUUUUGGAGGAUUGAAUUGGGAGUGGUGGGAUGAUCUCUUCUCCAUGAGCAGUGGCUUUUACUCAUAUCGAGGCAAUCACUACAGCUGAGUAGUAAUUUGCAAUUGAUGGACAUGAGAUCAAGCCAGUUUAAACUAAACUGAGCCACUUAAUGCAUUUGGCAAUACAGAUUCUAGGUAGCUCAUGGGACUGCAUUUGAGAACAGAUAUUCUGAAUCCAUGAGCUACCUGUCGAUGCCCUAUGGGCAAAGUUGCCAUCAAUAUGCCAUCAAGUGUGAUUGUAUGAGGCUUUGAUGAAAGGCAGGCGGGAAUAAGCUUUUAACCAAUUGAAGGAUAGACGGAUGUGUAACCUGGCCAUUCUAAGUGAAGCACAUUUCCCCUAAAUUUUGAUUAGUUCAGGUAUAGGUGUAAAGGGCUGUCAAGGUCGACGCAAGUCUGAAAUUUCCAGAUAUCAGAUAAUAUCCUAUUCUGUAAGGAUAAUAAACACUAGCUGCCUGCUGGUGUGGCUAGAGUCUCUCUCUGCACUUGGAAUAAAUUAGUGCGCAGCUCAAGGCAUGUAAAAGUGAACGUGGUUCAAACUCCAAAGUCCUGUUGAUGGGCCUGCCUUCGGCUUUGAUAACUCGAAAUUUUCUCAAAGCUUGGUGAUUGGCCUGCUCAAUCUAGUGAGGUUUUUUUGAAAAAUAAUGCGGUUGGACAGAGUAUGAGAAUCUUUUGGGUGGGAGAUAUCGAGUAGUACAGAGUAUCAUUGUGAAACUGAAAUGACUAGAAAAAAUAUAAUAAUAAUAAUAAUAAUAAUAAUAAUAAUAAUAAUUGAGUGAGAGGUGAUUAGGACAUUUUGGUUGUAACGCACGAUGGAGUUUGCUUUAUCUGGGUUCCGCGAGUCAGAAAAGUUUGUGAUAAUUGUUGGCGGGGUAUGCAGAAAGAACAAGUCUGUUUCUGAUUAUCUUUGACAUUUUUUGCCCAGUGACAUAAUUGGACACUCGUACAAGCUUUUAAAAAUAA